AGCUACACUCAUGUUCAUUCAUUCAACAAAUAUGUAUUGAGUACUUCCAUGUGCCAGACACUGUUCCAGAUGGUGAGGAAACAUCAAUGGGCAAAAGUGCGUGCCUUCGUGGAGAUUACACUCUAGUGAGGGGAGACAGACCAUAAACAUGACACGAUCUUCGGAAGAACGGAUGAUCCUGGAAGUAAUCCGGGCACACUUACAUUUGUUGUCAACAAGAACAAUCCUUUCAUCUUCUUGGGCUUGAAAGAGAUGGAGUUUCACCAUGUUGCCCAGGCUGGUCUUAAACUCCUGACCUCAAGUGAUCCACCUGCCUCGAGCCUCCCAAAGUGCUGGGAUUACAGAGCCACCGCACCUGACCUUGAUAAGUAUUGCAAGGAAUAAACAAAGGAAAUUUUGUAUCA
rnacentral:lncRNA from 10 species